GCCCCUAUUCAGGAACUAAUUGGAAGGGAUCUUCAUGAUAUAUAAUGAAUGGAAAUUCAGACAUGUUUCGAGGAGGCUUGCAACAACACUAGAGUAAUUGGUACAUGAAGUAGAUCGAGGAAGAUCCCUGCAAAGUUCAUCUUGAAGUAGAGGAAAAUAACUAACUUGUAAAGCUUAAUUAUCGAUCUUGUAAAUUUUGGUAGAAGCUUCAUUCAUUUUGUAACAUUUAUGAGGAAAAUUAAAGUGUAACAUUUCCUUUUAUAUAAGUUUCAUUCCUUUUUGUAUA